rnacentral:lncRNA from 1 species
AACAGAUUCCACUUCAGGUCAUCUUAGAAUCAUUAAUAUGUUUUCAGUUUGUUUUAUUUCCAGCUACCUGAAGCAACUGGCAUCUUCUAAUCUCACAAAACAACUCACCCGGAUCCUGGUUGGCAGAUGGCUAAAGAUCAGAUCCAUAUCCAUGGAGAGAAAUACAGUGUGGGGCUGUUUGGCAAACAUCAUACUCUCAGCAACAGUAUAUUCUGUGACCUUGGACAUUAGUAUGUCUUUACUCCAAAACCCCAGUGUUUGCCCGAAGAAUGACGUAGUUUCUCCAUUUGUUUGGCUCAUGUGGUGACACCUUUAGCCUUCACAUGGACACAGUGAGAUGACUGAUUUCCACUCCCACUGAGCAGCACUGUCUUCAUUAGGGCUGCCUCUUGCUCCCUGAGCCUGUCUGUCCUAGAGGUGCAUGCCAAUGUCCGUGCUGGUGGGACAUCUAAACUGUCUACAUGCUGCCAGGAUCUGUAUUUCAUGACAGCCAGCAAAGAAGUUUCUGAGAAAGCUGAGAGUAUGAUCUAACUGAGGGCCUCGUGCUUGUGCUGUUCUCUUUUCUUUAAUUUUCUCCUCCUCGAUCCAUUCUUUUUUUUGCUGAAGAAUGCUCUGG